rnacentral:rRNA from 1 species
UAGGGACCAGGAUUAGAUACCCUGUUACUUUUAAUUAAAUAAUUUUGGAAUAAUAGUUUUUAUGAAAUUUAACGGAUUUGGCGGCAAGAUAGCCCCUUAGAGGAACCUGCCCUGUAAACGAUGAACCACGAGAGACCCUACUUUUUUUGGUGAUCAGUUUGUAUAUCGCUGUUGUCAGUUAGAUUCUUGAGAAUAUUUUCAUUCAUGAUAAGUUCAUUGACUUCAAGUAAAGGUGCAGCUUAUAGAAAAGAUAGAGGUGGGUUACAUUUAUAAGAUUAAAUACGGAUAAGAUGAAUGAAACAUUCUUUGAAGGUGGAUUUAACUGUAAAACUUAAUUAAGUUUGGUGAGAGCUCUAUCUUGUGUACACACCGCCCGUCGCUCUCUUUUUUAAA